UACGUAGGGUGCGAGCGUUGUCCGGAAUUAUUGGGCGUAAAGGGCUCGUAGGCGGUUUGUCGCGUCGGGAGUGAAAACCUCGGGCUUAACUCGGGGCUUGCUUUCGAUACGGGCAGACUAGAGGUAUGCAGGGGAGAACGGAAUUCCUGGUGUGAGCGGUGAAAUACGCAGAUAUCAGGAGGAACACCGGUGGCGAAGGCGGUUCUCUGGGCAUGAUCUGACGCUGAGGAGCGAAAGUGUGGGGAGCGAACAGG
rnacentral:rRNA from 1 species